UACGGAGGGUGCAAGCGUUGUCCGGAUUUAUUGGGUUUAAAGGGUGCGUAGGCGGUCUUUUAAGUCAGUGGUGAAAUCCUGCAGCUUAACUGUAGAACUGCCAUUGAUACUGGAAGACUUGAGUAUAGAAGAGGUAGGCGGAAUUGACGGUGUAGCGGUGAAAUGCAUAGAUAUCGUCAAGAACACCGAUUGCGAAGGCAGCUUACUAGACUAUAACUGACGCUAAGGCACGAAAGCGUGGGGAUCAAACAGG
rnacentral:rRNA from 1 species